rnacentral:tRNA from 1 species
GCGGUAUUAGCUCAGUGGUUGAUUUCAAAAAGAGCGUCUGCUUUACACGCAGGAUGUCGGGAGUUCGAAACUCUCAUGCCGUA